GCCACAAGCAAGGAAGGCGAUGCAGUGAAAGAAAUCCUACAAGUACCGUAGCUGAAAGAACUACUGGGAGUACUGCCCCUAUUCUUGAUGAGCAUUCAUUGAUGGUUAGGCCAGUAGAUCCUGUCAGCAGAAAUGAGAUUAGUCUGUCUCUUUUCCAUCUGCGUGUUGCCUAUCGAUGUUUAAAACCUUUCUCUCAGUGUUGCUCUUGCCAGUCACGUACACAAUUAGCUUUCGAGUAGGGUAUCACAAGGCGAGCUGUGACCAAGUUUGAUACCAUGGGCUGUCUUUGGAUACCGGUGUCGACAUUCACCACAGUGAUGGUGUUAGCAUUAUGCAGUGGAUCUAGCGAAGCAUCUUGCCCGACAAACUGUGUUUGUCAGAAUGACAUUCUCGUUAGCUGUAGCCCUAUCGGCGAAACCUUAAAUUUUGAAAAUUUGGGAUUGAAAGCAAUCAAUGGUUCUGCAUUCAAGGAUGGAAAUACAUUGAAUUACCUGUAAGUAUUGA